rnacentral:rRNA from 1 species
GUUAAGCGACUAAGCGUACACGGUGGAUGCCCUGGCAGUCAGAGGCGAUGAAGGACGUGCUAAUCUGCGAUAAGCGUCGGUAAGGUGAUAUGAACCGUUAUAACCGGCGAUUUCCGAAUGGGGAAACCCAGUGUGAUUCGUCACACUAUCAUUAACUGAAUCCAUAGGUUAAUGAGGCGAACCGGGGGAACUGAAACAUCUAAGUACCCCGAGGAAAAGAAAUCAACCGAGAUUCCCCCAGUAGCGGCGAGCGAACGGGGAGCAGCCCAGAGCCUGAAUCAGUGUGUGUGUUAGUGGAAGCGUCUGGAAAGGCGCGCGAUACAGGGUGACAGCCCCGUACACAAAAAUGCACAUGCUGUGAGCUCGAUGAGUAGGGCGGGACACGUGGUAUCCUGUCUGAAUAUGGGGGGACCAUCCUCCAAGGCUAAAUACUCCUGACUGACCGAUAGUGAACCAGUACCGUGAGGGAAAGGCGAAAAGAACCCCGGCGAGGGGAGUGAAAAAGAACCUGAAACCGUGUACGUACAAGCAGUGGGAGCACGCUUAGGCGUGUGACUGCGUACCUUUUGUAUAAUGGGUCAGCGACUUAUAUUCUGUAGCAAGGUUAACCGAAUAGGGGAGCCGAAGGGAAACCGAGUCUUAACUGGGCGUUAAGUUGCAGGGUAUAGACCCGAAACCCGGUGAUCUAGCCAUGGGCAGGUUGAAGGUUGGGUAACACUAACUGGAGGACCGAACCGACUAAUGUUGAAAAAUUAGCGGAUGACUUGUGGCUGGGGGUGAAAGGCCAAUCAAACCGGGAGAUAGCUGGUUCUCCCCGAAAGCUAUUUAGGUAGCGCCUCGUGAAUUCAUCUCCGGGGGUAGAGCACUGUUUCGGCAAGGGGGUCAUCCCGACUUACCAACCCGAUGCAAACUGCGAAUACCGGAGAAUGUUAUCACGGGAGACACACGGCGGGUGCUAACGUCCGUCGUGAAGAGGGAAACAACCCAGACCGCCAGCUAAGGUCCCAAAGUCAUGGUUAAGUGGGAAACGAUGUGGGAAGGCCCAGACAGCCAGGAUGUUGGCUUAGAAGCAGCCAUCAUUUAAAGAAAGCGUAAUAGCUCACUGGUCGAGUCGGCCUGCGCGGAAGAUGUAACGGGGCUAAACCAUGCACCGAAGCUGCGGCAGCGACGCUGAUGCGUUGUUGGGUAGGGGAGCGUUCUGUAAGCCUGUGAAGGUGUGCUGUGAGGCAUGCUGGAGGUAUCAGAAGUGCGAAUGCUGACAUAAGUAACGAUAAAGCGGGUGAAAAGCCCGCUCGCCGGAAGACCAAGGGUUCCUGUCCAACGUUAAUCGGGGCAGGGUGAGUCGACCCCUAAGGCGAGGCCGAAAGGCGUAGUCGAUGGGAAACAGGUUAAUAUUCCUGUACUUGGUGUUACUGCGAAGGGGGGACGGAGAAGGCUAUGUUGGCCGGGCGACGGUUGUCCCGGUUUAAGCGUGUAGGCUGGUUUUCCAGGCAAAUCCGGAAAAUCAAGGCUGAGGCGUGAUGACGAGGCACUACGGUGCUGAAGCAACAAAUGCCCUGCUUCCAGGAAAAGCCUCUAAGCAUCAGGUAACAUCAAAUCGUACCCCAAACCGACACAGGUGGUCAGGUAGAGAAUACCAAGGCGCUUGAGAGAACUCGGGUGAAGGAACUAGGCAAAAUGGUGCCGUAACUUCGGGAGAAGGCACGCUGAUAUGUAGGUGAAGCGACUUGCUCGUGGAGCUGAAAUCAGUCGAAGAUACCAGCUGGCUGCAACUGUUUAUUAAAAACACAGCACUGUGCAAACACGAAAGUGGACGUAUACGGUGUGACGCCUGCCCGGUGCCGGAAGGUUAAUUGAUGGGGUCAGCGCAAGCGAAGCUCUUGAUCGAAGCCCCGGUAAACGGUGGCCGUAACUAUAACGGUCCUAAGGUAGCGAAAUUCCUUGUCGGGUAAGUUCCGACCUGCACGAAUGGCGUAAUGAUGGCCAGGCUGUCUCCACCCGAGACUCAGUGAAAUUG